UAUCUCUCCGUACGGGGAAGGAUGAGAAGCUUCGACCAAGGUUCGAUUCGAGCGCAGCGAGAAAGCGUUGCCGUAGGCAACGACCCGAAG
rnacentral:sRNA from 1 species